rfam:Candidatus Nasuia deltocephalinicola str. NAS-ALF, complete genome.
AAGCUUAUAGCUCAGCGGUUAGAGCAAUCGACUCAUAAUCGAUCGGUCGGGGGUUCAAACCCCUCUAAGCUUA